rnacentral:tRNA from 1 species
AAAAAGAUAAGCUAAUCAAAAGCUUUUGGACUCAUACCCCAAAUAUAAAGAAUUCUUUUCUUUUUA